rnacentral:rRNA from 1 species
UACGUAGGGUGCAAGCGUUAAUCGGAAUUACUGGGCGUAAAGCGUGCGCAGGCGGCUUCGCAAGUCAGACGUGAAAGCCCCGGGCUUAACCUGGGAAUGGCGUUUGAAACUACGGAGCUGGAGUGUGGCAGAGGGGGGUGGAAUUCCACGUGUAGCGGUGAAAUGCGUAGAUAUGUGGAGGAACACCGAUGGCGAAGGCAGCCCCCUGGGCCAACACUGACGCUCAUGCACGAAAGCGUGGGGAGCAAACAGG